rnacentral:rRNA from 1 species
GUGAGACAGGUGCUGCAUGGCUGUCGUCAGCUCGUGUUGUGAAAUGUUGGGUUAAGUCCCGCAACGAGCGCAACCCUUAUCCUUUGUUGCCAGCGAUUAGGUCGGGAACUCAAAGGAGACUGCCAGUGAUAAACUGGAGGAAGGUGGGGAUGACGUCAAGUCAUCAUGGCCCUUACGACCAGGGCUACACACGUGCUACAAUGGCGCAUACAAAGAGAAGCRACCUCGCGAGAGCAAGCGGACCUCAUAAAGUGCGUCGUAGUCCGGAUUGGAGUCUGCAACUCGACUCCAUGAAGUCGGAAUCGCUAGUAAUCGUGGAUCAGAAUGCCACGGUGAAUACGUUCCCGGGCCUUGUACACACCGCCCGUCACACCAUGGGAGUGGGUUGCAAAAGAAGUAGGUAGCUUAACCUUCGGGAGGGCGCUUACCACUUUGUGAUUCAUGACUGGGGUGAAGUCGUAACAAGGUAACCGUAGGGGAACCUGCGGUUGGAUCACCUCCUUA